rnacentral:rRNA from 1 species
UGUUGGGGUAACGGCCCAACAAGCCGAUAAUCGGUACGGGUUGUGGGAGCAAGAGCCCGGAGUUGGAUUCUGAGACACGAAUCCAGGCCCUACGGGGCGCAGCAGGCGCGAAAACUUUACAAUGCGGGAAACCGUGAUAAGGGAACCCCGAGUGCCUGUAUAUGCAGGCUGUCCAGGUGUCUAAAAAACACCUGAAGAAAGGGCCGGGCAAGACCGGUGCCAGCCGCCGCGGUAAUACCGGCGGCUCGAGUGGUGGCCACUUUUAUUGGGCUCAAAGCGUUCGUAGCUGGGUUGUUAAGUCUCUUGGGAAAUCUGACGGCUUAACCGUCAGGCGUCUAAGAGAUACUGGCAAUCUUGGAACCGGGAGAGGUGAGGGGUACUUCGGGGGUAGGAGUGAAAUCCUGUAAUCCUCGAGGGACCACCUGUGGCGAAGGCGCCUCACCAGAACGGCUUCGACAGUGAGGGACGAAAGCUGGGGGCACGAACCGGAUUAGAU